rnacentral:rRNA from 1 species
CCAAUAGCGUAUAUUAAAGUUGCUGCAGUUAAAAAGCUCGUAGUUGAAUUUCGGGACCAUCAUGUCGGUCGUGCCUCGGUACGUACUGGCAUCGUCGGUUUCUCCCUUCUGACGAACCAUGAUGUCAUUUAUUUGGUGUCGUGGGGAAUCAGGACUGUUACUUUGAAAAAAUUAGAGUGUUUAAAGCAGGCUCACGCUUGAAUACAUUAGCAUGGAAUAAUGAAAUAGGACGUUUGAUUCUAUUUUGUUGGUUUCUAGGAUCGACGUAAUGAUUAAUAGGGAUAGUUGGGGGCAUUAGUAUUCAAUUGUCAGAGGUGAAAUUCUUGGAUUUAUUGAAGACUAACUACUGCGAAAGCAUUUGCCAAGGAUGUUUUCAUUAAUCAAGAACGAAAGUUAGGGGAUCGAAGACGAUCAGAUACCGUCGUAGUCUUAACCAUAAACUAUGCCGACUAGGGAUCGGAUGAUGUUAAUUUUUUAAUGACUCAUUCGGCGCCUUAC